rnacentral:lncRNA from 1 species
GAAUGUACAACUUGUCAACAGAUAGAGACAACCCCUUCCCAUUGACGGGCUUACAGUCUAACAUACAAGGAUAACUUUUUGCCCAAGAACAGGCAAUUCGGUGGGAUAAAGUUCCCUAAAAAUGUGUCUGAAUCCUGAUUGGUUAAACCAUAGGGUAUGUUUUCCCAAAGACUUACGCGUAUGAAUUAGAAUCGUUUCCACAGCCUCUGGGAAAAAAAAAAAUGAUAUGAAAUAGCUUUAUGUGUUAUAUACUGUAAUGUGAAACAUCACUAAACUGAGAUUUGACCUUUUUUAAAGUAAUUCAAGGCAACACAUCAAAACUAACUACAGGAGGAGUUGUGCGAUGAUUAUGGGUCUUUGCAAGAGGCUUCGGGAAUAGAAGCUUGUUUGACUGACUGUGGUAGUGAAUUCUCAACUUGAGUGAAAAAUUUGUCUACCUUUCCUCUUUCCGUUUGAGAGAACCUUACAGCAAGCUAACUCCUUCAAAACCCCAUUAGAGUACCCUUAAAUUCACCGUGUACAUUCAGGAAGGGGCCUCGGAGGUUAUUCCCCCCUACAUCUGGAUGUCAGAAUACCUGGGUUCUAUUUCCAGAUGCAGCCUCCAUCUCUGAAAUCUCUCAACCUUCUCUCCCUCAGUCCCUUCAUCUGUAAGGAAUCACAAUGGACAAGGUCCGGCUAAAGGAAACGGUUGUUUCUUCAAGUGAGAAUUGGGCGAAUGCCACACCCAUCCACCAUGGAAAACAUGUGCCAACAGUAGGAUCAUCUUCAGACACGAAGACGCACCUAAAUGCCUCCGCAUGAACGAUCGUAGGACUUACGGACCUUGUUACUGGGAUGGAAAAACCAGCCUUCACCCAGUGUAACUUUUCUUUGGAAUGACUGAAGAUAUAAUAAGUGUGCUCAAUCAGUCGGAUUUGCUCCGGAAAACUGGGAGAUGUCUUCCGAUCACACGGAAAUAGCCUUUUGUCUAACAUCGGGUGGCUAUUUUCAGGACAGUCGGGAGAAACAAAGCAAUGAAAUGAUGGAUCUUCUCGAAAGGCAUCCGUGGGAACAAAAAAGCACGAAAAAGGAUGAAAGUCAGGAUGCAAUAAGCUUUAUUUUGACAGAGGCUGAAGCAGACCUGGUAAACGGGAACACAAUGACGGGAGAAAAAAAUCCCCUGGAAACAAAUGAAACCGUGGCCAUGGAAAUGCUCACAAUGUGUUCUACUUCCACCCUUUGUAGCUCUCACUUACAAUUUGAAUAAAGAAAGUAAAUUUCUGACACGUGAAAUUCUUAGGUGGAAAAGUACCAGAUUCAGCCACGGAGGCUGAAUUUUCCUCUUUCUUCAGAACAGAAAGAGGUGGCAUCGAAGUUUGGAGGGGACGGAGAGAGGGAGGAGGAACGAUCGAUCGAUCAAGCAGUGGGGAUUUACCGACCGCUUGCUGUCUGUAAAACACCGUACUAAGUUCGGGGGGGCUCCAACGGAAUUGGUAGACACGUUCCCGGCCCACGACGAUCUUUCGGUCUGCCAACGUACCUUAAUCCUCCCCUGAAGACACCUCUUUUCAGUGACAAAAAAGCUUCUGGAUCUACUAAGUCCUCAGCCGGAAUUAAGCGGUAUUCAUCGAGUGACUGGGUCGGGGCCCGUCCAUCAUUCUCGAUGGGAGAAUCCGUCAUUUAAAGAGCACAUCGCACUACCUCCUAGGCUCUUUCCACCCAGAGAACAGUAGCCAGUUGCAGGUAUGGGAACGAGAAUGGGUAGAGGAGUCGAAGCGGUGUGGCCUAAUGGAAAGACCCCAGGCCUGCGGGGCAGAGCGUAGUAUAGUAUUCAUUCAAUAGUAUUUAUUGAGCGCUUACUAUGUGCAGAGCACUGUACUAAGCGCUUGGAAUGGACAAUUCGGCAACAGCUAGCGACAAUCCCCGCCCAAUGACGGGCUCACAGUCUAAACAGCAGGACUUACUAAGUGCUCGCGGUACGCACAGUGCUGUGUUCUGAGCGUCGAGAGGGCGUAUAACGGAAUACCGGUGGGAAUCACACCCUGACCCUGUCCGUCAAGUGGCUCACGAAUCUGUGAGCCAGAGGUCCUG